rnacentral:rRNA from 1 species
UACGGGGGGAGCAAGCGUUGUUCGGAAUUACUGGGCGUAAAGGGCUCGUAGGUGGCCAACUAAGUCGGGACGUGAAAUCCCCUCGGCUUAACCGGGGAACUGCGUCCGAUACUGGUUGGCUUGAGUUUGGGAGAGGGAUGCGGAAUUCCAGGUGUAGCGGUGAAAUGCGUAGAUAUCCGGAGGAACACCGGUGGCGAAGGCGGCUCCUGGACCGACACUGACGCUGAGGCGCGAAAGCUAGGGGAGCAAACGGG